GUACACGCUGUGACUAGCAUAUCAAUAAGCGGAGGAAAAGAAACUAACAAGGAUUCCCCUAGUAACGGCGAGUGAAGCGGGAAGAGCUCAAAUUUGAAAUCCUAAAGGGUUUCCCUUUACGAAUUGUAGUUUAAAGAAGUGUUUUCUGUUGAGGUUUUGGUAAAAGUUCUUUGGAAUAGGACAUCAUAGAGGGUGAGAAUCCCGUAUUCGACCUUUACUUUCAACUUUGUGAUACACUUUCAAAGAGUCGGAUUGUUUGGGAAUGCAGUCCAAAAUGGGUGGUAAAUUUCAUCUAAAGCUAAAUAUUGGCGAGAGACCGAUAGCGAACAAGUACCGUGAGGGAAAGAUGAAAAGAACUUUGAAAAGAGAGUUAAACAGUACGUGAAAUUGUCAAAAGGGAAGCGUUUGACACCAGUGUUGUUUUUCUGAAAAUCAAUUAAAGAACUGUUUAUGCUAAGUUGUUUAGACUUUAUCAGCUAACUGUUUAGUUUUGAGCUUUUCUUUAAUGCACUUUUCAGUUAACAAGUCAACAUCAAUUUCUUUUGCUGUAAAAAAGCUUGAGGAAGGUGGCUUGAGAUUCGUCUUAAGUGUUUAUAGCCUCUUGCCUAUGCAGUCGGAGAGAUUGAGGUCUGCAGCGUAGAUCCUUCGGGGCUAAAUGCAUUUGUGCUAAGUUAUAGCAUUUUAUAGACAACUUGUUGACUAUGAUUUGUCUUGUAGCUUACUCGCUUAUGUUAUUUUACCUACGCUUAGGAUGUUGAAGAUGUAGCACAUCAU
rnacentral:rRNA from 1 species